rnacentral:lncRNA from 10 species
AAACCUGUCCGUGGCUGGCAGCCCUGUGAUACCUCGCCACAUUCUGCAACAGAAUCCGAGAUAGAGGUAGAAGUGGGGGAGUACGUCGUGGCUGUCAGGGCAGCUUUCUGUAAAAUGCUGCCUGGAGGAGCAUGUGAUUCCAGACCCUCCUCUCUGCAACGAAAGUGAGGUUGACACCUGCAGGCCUGGGGCCUCCUGGCCCACUGAGCAGAACACACAGAAGCUGGGCCCACCCCUGCCCUCCCCACAAAGGGUCACGGGAGCCACCGCCUGACUUUGAAGCCCACUGACUUGCGGCUGACAAGAGAAAAGACAGGGUUUCAUUCUUGUUGCUCAGGCUGGCGUGCAAUGGCGUGAUCUCGGCUCACUGCAACCUCUGCCUCCCAGGUUCAAGAGAUUCUCCUGUCUCAGCCUCCGGAGUAGCUG